GAUCUCACCGGGCGGUUGGCGCCGUUAGUCUCGCGGAGUCGAGCCUGUCGGUGUUCCUUGUUCUGAACGCCCACCCUAUCGCCAUACAGUGGAUAAACCGCUCUCUGGUUAGGGUGGGACAGACUGCAAGGAGGCCCCGCCUGGCUCGGCCUCCGGGUAGAGGGCACUGCUCAGGGCGCAGAAACCUGUUGAAGCCACGGCAGCAAGCCAGUGAGGAAACUGCUAGGACCCCCAGGCGAGGAUGUAGGCAGGUGGAGAACGAGCCGGUUCAUCCAUGAAACUGUCCCAAGGGCUUACCGAGCCUGUGCACUUCUAAAUUUGCACAGCGAACCCGAGGUGGAGACUUGGGGAGAGUACCAUACAAGCUGCCAGGAGGCUGGGACCUGGCGCCUGCUCUGGAGUCUAGCUUCCUUCUGAAAUAUCCAGGAAGGUAAUAAGGGGACCCCGUGCCCAUCCGCGGCUCCUCCUUCAGCUCACACUCAGAGGUGGACUUUGAACCCCAUUCCCCAGGCGUGGAUGUCCCCCUCCUCUUCUCCCUGACCCUUCCCUUGGUGCCCAUUUGCCCAAUCUUGCCAGCCCCCCCACCACCAUUUCUCUGGUGCGGUUCUCCGUGCCUCCCCAGAUCCCUUCCUUUGGCUGAGGGAGACUUCCAAGGGCAGGGGGUUCCCAGUCGGGAUGGACUUGGUCUCCCCUUUUCUCUGUCUCCUACAGUUCUAUUUACAACUUUUUCCCCAGAUGUUCUUGGCUCUUCUCUCUCCCUAAGAUAAUCCUUUCACCAUCUCUUGGUUCACCUCCUCGUGUUCCCUGCACCUUCCGUCUUUCCCUCAACCUUCCGGCUCCUCCUAGCCGUGAACAAGCGGGUUUUGUGUGCCGGCCAUUGGGCACAGCUUGUUGUCAUCCUUGAUGUGUUUAAAACUCACUUUGCAGGUCUGUGAAGGAUAAAUAGUUCUCCACUUUUGUCUGAAUUGUUCAAGGCCACAGAGCAACUCGUUAGAAUCGGAGCCACAGUCAGGAGAUCCAUCUACACCUCAGCUGCUGUAUGGAUGAAACCUCUUUUCUUGUCAUCGUCUUGCCUACAGUUCCUUUUCUCUCCUAGGAUGGUUGUGGCACCUUGGAGACAGACCCAGGAGCCAUAGUCAUAGAACAGACUGGCCACCUGUGGACCUCCUGUCCAUGCCCAUAACCAAAGACCACCAGGAACAAA